UGGGCCGGUGGGAGAGGGAGGCGAGCCGACCACUGGGCUGUUGGGUUCCCGCGCCCUCGCGCUCCCCGCCGCCAGCCCAAGCGCAGGCAGGGCGCAGGCGGCGGCGGGCGGCAUGGAGAGCCUGCUGGAGAACCCGGUGCGUGCCGUGCUCUACCUCAAGGAGCUCACGGCCAUCGUGCAGAACCAGCAGAGCCUUAUCCACACCCAGCGAGAGCGUAUCGACGAGCUGGAGCGGCGGCUGGACGAGCUGAGCGCUGAGAACCGCAGCCUGUGGGAGCACCAGCAGCUGCUGCAAGCCCAGCCUCCGCCCGGGCUGGUCCCCCCGUCAUCGGCCCCGCUGCCGGCCGCUCCGGCCGCCGCUCCCCCCGCCGCCGCCAGGGCCCAGGAACCUCUCCAGGACCAGGGACAGCGCUCAGCAGCCGCGCCGCAGCCCGCGCCCGAGCUGCCGUCGCUUCAGCACCACGGACAGCUCCUGGAGCAGCCCCAGCUGGGCCCUGGCAGCAGGGCUCACACACCUCAGUCGCCCCACAAGCAUCUGGGGACACAGGGGGCCGUGACUGACAAGGAGAAGGAGCGUCCCCCGAGUUGCUGCGCUGCUGCCGGAGCCCGCCUUCAGCACAAAUCCCCCUCCGCCCUCGGCAAGGGCGUCCUGAGCAGGAGACCUGAGUGAGCGGGGAGAGGAGAUGGGCUCUGUUGUGGUGGGAGCAAGGGAAGCAAGUGGGUGUGCGGGAGAGCCGCGGACGUUGGGUGCGUAGGAGUCUAAAGGACCGGAGUGAUGUGGCCUGAAGGGGCCAGGAGUGUGUAAAGGAGAUUUUGGGUAAAUGAGGGAACGAUAUCCGUGCUUGAGAAGGUUUUGGGGAAUGUUGGAGCAAAAAGGAGUAACCAGACAUUAGUAGGGGCAAAGGAGGAAGGAGGUGGGUGUUAAGUGAUUGGUGAUAAUGGAAACUGAGAGCAUUUAAAGGGGGUUAGGCUGGGAUGAAGUUCGAGUGAAGAUUAAACUGUAGAAAAGAGAACCAUUGAAGGAAUCUUUUUAAGUGAGAAAAAAUUUGGAAGGAAGUUUGGGUGGUAAAAGUAUUUGAAUGGAGACUGAGAUGCGAGAAAAGCUGAAGACUUGGAAAGAGGCAUGUGAAGAGCUUUGAAAAGGCUGGGGCCCAGGAAGAGUAGGACCAGGGUAGAGGGGAAUUCAGGAGGCCAGGGACAAACCUGAAAAGCAGGAGUGAUGUGGGAAACCAGGGAGCUGCAGGCAGAGGAAGAGAAAAUGUGGCUCUUUAGCUGGUGAAGUGGGAGUCACAGCUAGGAGUGGCUCAUUUGGGGAAGCUUUCUCUUCUCUGACCUGAGUGGGCACCCUUGUUCUGAAUUCCCGCAGAGCCGAAGGGGUGUAAGGGAAUAUCCCAUCAAACCAGCGGAGGACUCAGGCAUGGUUUGAGGGCUCAGUCUGGCUACAGCUUUUUCUUCCAACUCAAGGAGGGUUUUUCAUACGAGGUGUUUGGCCAUUGUUGAAAGGGAACAAUGACAUGAGGGACAGUUGGCAGAUGGAGUUGGUAUUCAGAUGUCAUGCCCGUUUAAAUCUCCCUGCUAAGGCCAGCAACUGCAAACCUUAUUUUCCCUGGUUAUCUGCUGAUCACUGAAAUACUGUCUUGGGUCCUGAGAGAAAUGUUAACCUCUCAGUUCCUAGGACUUCAAGCUCUUUCUUCACUCACGAGGUCUGUGAAAUAGGAAUAUGGGAAGAAGAUAUGAAAGUGUCUGAGACGUUUUCUCCUCUGUACUGGAAAGGCUGUGGCCAUGUCAGCUUCUUUUCUCUGAUUAGACAAGUGACAGAGAACUAAAUAAAGAACAGUUCAAGGGAAAAUAUACCUGGUCAGCACCCGACCCUGACGAUGGUGAUGCUAAAGAGAAUGCGGAGGGGGAAAGUAGAGCUGAGAAUCUCAUCUUCAUCCAGUUGCAUUAAGUCUGGGAGAUGCUUGUGAAUAUUUGCUAUAAUCCUUCAAAACUCAUUUUCUCUUCCCAUCUGUGGUAGAGUUACAGAAGUUGGGUUAGGCCAGGGUAGCUCACAGAGUAUGUUGAUCAAAACCACGGGAUCUAGGAGGUGAAGGUCUAACACGAUCUGGCUUGGCAGACUUAAAACAUUUGAUUCAAGUCCCAAGAAGGCACAGUUUUCUACCCCAACUCCUUCAAAACCCCUUUGUACUUCCCUCAGGAAAACAUUUGAAGGGUUAAAAGUCACAUUUUUAUUUUUAUUUUUCCUUAUCUGGCAUAAAAAGCAGAAAGUCAGUUUUCCCUCAAUGCCCAAGGCUCAGCAAAAGGCAACAUUGUUCCAAGAUACUAAGCGGUCUUCUCCCCCACAUGAGGGGAUGAAUUUUUCCAGUCCCCUUCCCUGAGGGCAACUACAGCUACCUGGUCAUUAUGAUUUCUCUCCUCAUGACUUUUGGUGUCUCCUUUCUCUCCCACUGCAUCUCCACUUUCUUUGCAUCCCUUCAGGGCACUGUGUGGCCAAGAAGAGUUGAGGAAAGUUUAUUUUUCUUGGACAAAGACAUUGCCAUGGCCUUCAGAGUGGCCUAUGGAACCCGAACCCUUUCAUUCAGUUGGCCCUGCUAGGAAUCCUGGGGUUUAGGAAUCAUCUGGGCUCCUGUCCAGCCCCACAUGUCAAUUCUGGAGAGGAACUGUGACAUCCUCAUCUUUCCUUCUCACCUGUCCUGCUUUUGCUUCCCAAAGGAGCAGAACAAAAAUAAGAAAUAAUUAGCAUGGUGG